AAGUCGUAACAAGGUAUCCGUAGGUGAACCUGCGGUUGGAUCAUUAAAAAGUUUGAAAAGGGCCUAUGUCAAAGAUGCUUUUAGUUUAGUUAAUUUUUGGCCGUUUCGUUCAUUCAUUCGUUCAUUCUGAUACUGUUUUUUCAGCAUCCUUUGACUUAGUCCCUAAUCAAAAACCAACCCUGUGUGAACUGUUUUGUCUCUGGCGGCUGGGUAGGGAUAUACUUUGUGUAGCUCUAUCUGUCAGCUUAGUCUCUUCUGAGCCGUGGACAACCCGCCAAACAAUACUGAACAAACUUAGCUAAUUUUUUCUGUCUAAUAUCUGAUUUGUAUAAAUGUACAAACAACUUUUGGCAACGGAUCUCUUGGCUCUC
rnacentral:misc_RNA from 1 species